AUACGGAGGAUCCAAGCGUUAUCCGGAUUUAUUGGGUUUAAAGGGUGCGCAGGCGGAAGAUUAAGUCGGCGGUGAAAUUUUGCAGGUCAACUGUAAAAGUGCCAUCGAUACUGGUUUUCUUGAGUGUAGAUGAAGUAGGCGGAAUUUGUGGUGUAGCGGUGAAAUGCAUAGAUAUCACGAGGAACUCCGAUUGCGCAGGCAGCUUACUAAACUACUACUGACGCUCAGGCACGAAGGCGUGGGGAUCAAACAGGAUUAGAUACCCUGGUAGUCCACGCAGUAAACGAUGAUUACUAGCUGUUUGCGAUACAAUGUAAGCGGCUGAGCGAAAGCGUUAAGUAAUCCACCUGGGGAGUACGUUCGCAAGAAUGAAACUCAAAUGAAUUGACGGGG
rnacentral:rRNA from 1 species